UUUAAAUUUCACCGGAAUUUUCAUUUUCCGAGCAAAAAAAUGAGUAAGAGUAGCAAUCCAAAAGGAAGAACUACGAUUGAAGUUGGAGCUGAUGGAGUUGCCGUCAUUACAAUUAUCAAUCCUCCAGUCAAUUCUCUCGCAUUAGAUGUGCUGUAUAGCUUGAAAGAGAACUACGAUCAGGCCUUAAGAAGGGAUGAUGUGAAAGCAAUUGUUGUGAUAGGCGCAAAUGGCAAGUUCUCUGGUGGUUUUGAUAUCAGUGCCUUCGGUAAACUGCAGGGAGGAACAGUAGAAUCACCAAAGCCUGGGUUUAUAUCAGUGGAGAUCCUGACUGACACCGUUGAAGCUGCAAGAAAACCUUCUGUGGCGGCAAUUGAUGGUCUGGCUCUAGGUGGAGGACUAGAAGUUGCAAUGGCUUGUCAUGCACGAAUUUCUACUCCCAAUGCACAACUUGGAUUGCCAGAACUUCAACUUGGUAUACUUCCAGGGUUUGGAGGUACUCAGCGCCUCCCCCGCCUCGUAGGUCUUGCUAAGUCCCUUGAAAUGAUGCUAACAUCAAAGCCUGUUAAAGGAGAGGAAGCUGUUAAUCUGGGCCUUGUUGACGCUGUAGUUCCAUCAAACCAAUUAUUGGAUACUGCUCGUAAGUGGGCUCUUGAUAUUUUGGAGUGCAGAAAGCCUUGGGUUGCCAGUCUUCACAAAACUGACAAGAUAGAACCUCUUGGUGAGGCUAGGGAAGUAUUAAAGUUUGCAAGAGUUCAAACUCGCAGACAGGCUCCUAACCUCCAGCAUCCCUUAGUUGUCAUUGAUGUUGUUGAAGAGGGUAUAGUGUCUGGCCCACGUGCUGGGCUUUGGAAGGAGGCUGAAGCAUUCCAAAGUCUUCUACAUUCCGACACCUGCAAGGCCUUGGUCAGCGUUUUCUUUGCUCAGCGUGCAACCACAAAGGUUCCAGGGGUAACUGACUUAGGAUUAAAACCGCGACGCAUAAAAAAGGUCGCAAUUCUUGGAGGAGGUUUAAUGGGUUCUGGAAUUGCGACUGCAUUGCUUCUUAGUAACUACCCGGUGAUCUUGAAAGAAGUUAAUGACAAAUUCCUACAGGCUGGGUUGGGUAGAGUAAAAGCCAAUUUGCAAAGUAGUGUCAAGAAAGGGAAAAUGAGUCCAGAGAAGUUUGAAAAAACUCUCUCCCUACUCAAGGGUGCUCUGGAUUAUGAAGAUUUUAGAGACGUGGACAUGGUCAUUGAGGCUGUCAUCGAGAAUGUAUCUCUAAAGCAGCAAAUAUUUGCAGAUCUUGAGAAGUACUGCCCUCCGCAUUGCAUUCUAGGAAGCAACACUUCUACGAUUGACUUGAAUUUGAUUGGGGAAAAGACCAAAUCUCAAGAUCGUAUUAUUGGAGCUCACUUUUUCAGUCCGGCUCAUGUGAUGCCAUUGUUGGAAAUCGUCCGCACCCAAAAGACAUCGCCCCAAGUAAUUGUUGACUUGCUUGAUGUUGGCAAGAAGAUAAGGAAGACCCCUGUAGUGGUUGGGAACUGCACUGGUUUUGCUGUGAAUAGAAUGUUCUUUCCUUACACCCAAGCUGCCCUUUUGCUAGUCGAACGUGGAGCGGACGUCUUUCGCAUAGAUAGGGUCAUUACGAAAUUUGGCAUGCCAAUGGGCCCCUUCAGAUUAUGUGAUCUUGUUGGUUUUGGUGUUGCAAUUGCCACUGGUGGGCAAUUUGUGAUGAAUUUCCCGGAGAGAACUUACAAAUCAAUGUUGAUACCGCUCAUGCAAGAAGAUAAAAGGGCUGGUGAAACUACUCGGAGAGGGUUUUAUGUGUAUGACGACAGACGUAAAGCGAGCCCAGAUCCAGAAAUAAAGAAAUAUAUUGAGAAGGCAAGAGAGAUGUCUGGUGUUACCAUUGACCCUAAGAUGGCAAAACUCUCGGACAAGGAUAUCAUAGAGAUGAUUUUCUUCCCUGUGGUAAAUGAAGCCUGCAGAGUGCUUGCAGAAGGCAUAGCGGUUAAAUCUUCUGAUCUUGACAUUUCUGCCAUUAUGGGCAUGGGAUUCCCUCCUUACAGAGGAGGGAUCAUAUUCUGGGCAGACACUCUUGGAUCCAAAUACAUCUGUUCACGAUUGGAUGAGUGGUCAAGAAUGUAUGGAGACUUUUUCAAGCCUUGUUCCUACCUAGCUGAAAGAGCUUCCAAGGGGGCUCCUCUGAAUGCUGCAACAGAUUCAGCCAAGUCGCGCUUGUAAGAUGAGCAAUGCUAGUGAGCGUUCUUCCACUUCGAAGCUUCGUUAUUUUCUUACUCUGGUCAGCUAAUAGGAUUUGGCAAGGAAGAGUCAAUAAGCAUAUAUCAUUACAAGUUUGGAUCACAAAGUUGAAUUAUUAUUUUGCUCCCCUACUAAAUUAAUAAAUGAGAACAUUUAUAUUGCUUUUAGUCGUAAUCAUAAAUUUCAUAAUGGAAGAAUUUGAUAAAUUAUGAUAUGGAAUG
rnacentral:misc_RNA from 1 species